UGGGGGAUAUUGCACAAUGGGGGAAACCCUGAUGCAGCAAUGCCGCGUGAGGGAAGAAGGUCUUCGGAUUGUAAACCUAAGUAGCCAGGGACGAUAAUGACGGUACCUGGAGAGUAAGCUCCGGCUAACUACGUGCCAGCAGCCGCGGUAAUACGUAGGGAGCGAGCGUUGUCCGGAUUUACUGGGUGUAAAGGGUGCGUAGGCGGGAUGGCAAGUCAGAUGUGAAAUACCGGGGCUUAACCCCGGGGCUGCAUUUGAACUGUCGUUCUUGAGUGAAGUAGAGGCAGGCGGAAUUCCUAGUGUAGCGGUGAAAUGCGUAGAUAUUAGGAGGAACACCAGUGGCGAAGGCGGCCUGCUGGGCUUUAACUGACGCUGAGGCACGAAAGCAUGGGGAGCAAACAGGAUUAGAUACCC
rnacentral:rRNA from 1 species